UACGUAGGGAGCAAGCGUUGUCCGGAAUCAUUGGGCGUAAAGAGCGUGUAGGCGGCCCGAUAAGUCCGCCGUGAAAGUCCAGGGCUACAACCCCGUGGAAUGCCGGUGGAAACUGUUCGGGCUGGAGUCCGGAAGAGGCGAGUGGAAUUCCUGGGUGUAGCGGGUGAAAUGCGCAGAUAUCAGGAGGAACACCGGUGGCAAAGGCGGGCUAUCCUGGACAGAAACUGACGCUGAGGCGCGAAAGCUAGGGGAGCAAACAGG
rnacentral:rRNA from 1 species